rnacentral:rRNA from 1 species
UACGGAGGGAGCUAGCGUUGUUCGGAAUUACUGGGCGUAAAGCGCACGUAGGCGGCUUUGUAAGUUAGAGGUGAAAGCCCGGAGCUCAACUCCGGAAUUGCCUUUAAGACUGCAUCGCUUGAAUCCAGGAGAGGUGAGUGGAAUUCCGAGUGUAGAGGUGAAAUUCGUAGAUAUUCGGAAGAACACCAGUGGCGAAGGCGGCUCACUGGACUGGUAUUGACGCUGAGGUGCGAAAGCGUGGGGAGCAAACGGG